UACGUAGGGCGCGAGCGUUGUCCGGAAUUAUUGGGCGUAAAGAGCUCGUAGGCGGCCUGUUGCGUCUGCUGUGAAAUCCCGGGGCUUAACCCCGGGCGUGCAGUGGAUACGGGCAGGCUGGAGGCAGGCAGGGGAGAAUGGAAUUCCCGGUGUAGCGGUGAAAUGCGCAGAUAUCGGGAGGAACACCAGAGGUGAAGACGGGUUGCUGGGCCGACACUGACGCUGACAGCGCGAAAGCCAGGGGAGCAAACGGG
rnacentral:rRNA from 1 species